rnacentral:rRNA from 1 species
GACGAACGCUGGCGGCGUGCUUAACACAUGCAAGUCGAGCGAGAAAGCUCUUCGGAGUGAGUACAGCGGCGAACGGGUGAGUAACACGUGGGCAACCUGCCCUAGGGAGCGGGACAACCCGGGGAAACUCGGGCUAAUACCGCAUGUCCCCCUUGGUCAUAAGACUUUGGGGAAAAUGGUAGCUUCGGCCUCCGCCCUUGGAUGGGCCCGCGGCGCAUUAGCUCGUUGGUGGGGUAACGGCCUACCAAGGCAACGAUGCGUAGCUGGUCUGAGAGGACGAUCAGCCACACUGGGACUGAGACACGGCCCAGACUCCUACGGAGGCAGCAGUGGGGAAUCUUGCGCAAUGGGCGAAAGCCUGACGCAGCAACGCCGCGUGCGGGAAGACGGCCUUAGGGUUGUAAACCGCUUUCAGGGGGAC